GGUUUGAGGGUGCUCUGUCUAUGACCCCACUGAAGACCAGGCUUGAUUCAUGUGAUCUGGCUGGCUGGCGGGUGUCCCCUUCCUCCCUCACCACUCCAUAUACAUCCUUCCUGAAGGUGCACACUUGUUCAAAGAGGAGGACCUUCCCUGACUGGAGCAGGACAAAUCCUCAGUCAUAUGUAUACAAGUAGCUGCACUCCCCUGCUAGAACCUCCACACAAGCUCUCAAGGGUAUCUUUCAUUGUGUGCCUUCACACAAUCCUCUCUCUCAAGGAACUCCUCUUCAGUUUCUCAUGGAUUUACUGG
rnacentral:sRNA from 1 species